CUGCAAACGCCCCCCUUCAAUCUCUGUCUUCCUCUUUCCCAUAAUCCCCUGGCACUGUCAGAGUAGGCUUGAAGCUUUUUCCUUUUCUAUGCAAUAUUCUUUUUCAUUAUGAUUUCAGAGUUAUGAUUAAAUCAUGCUAGUGUAUGGUGGCAUAAGAGAGGAAAACCAACUUCUGGGUAAAGAAAUGAAAACUGAAAGUAUGAAAACAAGCAGAAACUGAGAGGUGGAGUGGGAAUGGAGGACAGGGAAGAAGCUUUCUCAAACUUUCAUCUUGAACCAGAUUCAACAGCAUUAUCUCAUUUAAAUCAAGAUACCACUAAUAAAGCAACUGAGGAAAAAUAAACUCAAUGGAAAAAGAAGAAAAAUAUGAACUUCACUAUCUGUUUCUUUAAUUUCUAGGGUUCUCAAUAUGCAAUUCUUAAG